rnacentral:rRNA from 1 species
GACGUAGGGGGCCAGCGUUGUUCGGAAUUACUGGGUGUAAAGGGUUCGUAGGCGGUGCGGCAAGUCAGAUGUGAAAUCCCCGGGCUUAACCUGGGAACUGCGUUUGAAACUACGGAGCUAGAGUGCGGCAGAGGGGGGUGGAAUUCCACGUGUAGCAGUGAAAUGCGUAGAUAUGUGGAGGAACACCGAUGGCGAAGGCAGCCCCCUGGGCCGACACUGACGCUCAGGCACGAAAGCGUGGGGAGCAAACAGG